CUGCCUCGAACCCAUGCAAUUCCUGUUUUAUACUACCUCCUUUAAAAAUUAUUCUAGUGUUUUGAUUUUUUUGUUGUUGUUUUUUCCUGUACUCAGGGAACAGUUUGUUACUUUUAAGCUGCCUCACGGAAACGUGAAGCAAACUGACAGGGUAUCAUUUUGUGUUUUAAUAGGAGAGAGCGAGAGACAGGGAGGAGGCUGGAAUCAUCCAAUGUUAUAAACUUGCCUGUAUCUAUAUCCGGUCCUCUUCUCACUCCUCUUUCCCUGUUCUACAUUUUAAAAAAAGUAAGAAAAAAGAAAGAAAAAGAAAAAAAAAUUAGGCAUAUGUUUUUACUUUAAAAAGUUGUUUAAAAUAUAAUGCUGUGAGAAAUCAACCAUAGGAAAUCCUGGCUCUAUUUAAGUCUGUCAGAACUCCCACUGACAUUACUGGGGCUGAGAUGUCACUUCUAGGUGACACCUGGAGGUGUGCCAGGCUGACUCCUGAUGCUCCUCAGUACCUGUAGGUGGUCACAAGUUGUGGGUAAGCCCUACUCUCGUGGUUGGAUUGUGCUGAGGAAUCGGGCUCUGGUUCCUGGAGUUCUUUCCCCUGGAACUGUUGCCAGUCCUGAAGCACACAGCACACACUCACCUCUCCCUAACAGUGGCAAUUCCAAUGCUUGAAGAAUAAUCUUGUACCAAAGACUUUUCUGUGGAGGAGAAGGAGGCCACAUAUUAUCCAAAAGAAUUUGAACUAGUUGAAAAGCUAUAGGUUUGAAGAGCUGAAUACAUUUUAUUGUCUAAGUAGUUACUAACAGAAGCGAAUAGGACUUGAUUGUAGUAGCCAAUUGCAUAGGUGAGUUGUAUUCAAGAAUUUUAACUACCUUGUUGUUACAAGAGCCUUUAAAGAAAGUUAAAAUACCAGCAGAUAUCUCCAAAGAAUUCCAAGUGUAUUUUUUUUCUCCAGCUUGUAGUUGAUGAACAGUACAGUAUUAAGAAAAAUAUUUUUAAACAGUUUUUUUACUACUUGCUGAAGAAAAAGAGAACUUUUCACCAAAGAUUUAUUUUCAGUCUUGUCAGGCAGAACGUGUAGUGUACAGCUGUUUUUAGUUAGGUAGAGUGUGAAUUAAUCAAAACUAGAGUAAGAAUGUGUAACUGUAGCAUGAAGUUUCACACUUCAUCUUUCAGAGUAGCCUCUUGUGUUAGUUGCAUUCAGAAAGAGCUGAUAUGCAGAUGGUAACUGCUUCUCCAAAGACUUGUUUGCUGUAAGUACUGGCAAUGGGGUAUAAUUUAAUGAUCCUCGUUACAGAUAAAUACUGUAAAUCCUAAACUCUUCCUUCCAAAGACCCAUUCUGUAGUUUAACCUAUGGAUAAUCUGAGAGAAACGGACUUCAUAGAAAAUCUGCCAAUCUUGUAUAGAUGUUUGCAGUUAAAUAGCCAAAGAGUUGAAAAUACUCAGUGUAUUAGAGAGCAGCAGAACUGGAUUCAUCACUUAACAUUUUAUCAAGCUACUUCUUACCAGCAAAUAAAGAAAACCAAAGAUAUUUAAGGUUACCUCAGCAUAUAGGCAAGCUUAGUUAGACAUUAAUUAUUCUGUCUUUUUCUUUAUUUUUAUGUUAACCAAAUAUAAAACACUUCUCCAGAACCCAGUCUACAUUCAUAUGCUUCCCUUUGGCACAGUUAUGAUUUCUACAGAGCAAAAAUUCUCUCCUCAAAAUUCAUGGCCUAGUACUAAUAUAUCACAAGAUUUUGUGAGAGAAAAUUUGUCUUAUUAUUGAAAACACCAACAAGGUAAGCAAAGGAAUAUCCAGAAAUUGAUUAUGUCUCUAUUGAACUUAGUAGCAGAAUCAAUCCUUCAUAAUUGUAACAGUGCAAAAUUUAAAAGUUUAAAUGCUUUAUAGCCUUGAGGCCAACACAUGUGAUUAUAAAUAUGAUCUUACAAAUGAUAAUUUUUUUCAAAGUUUAUACCCAUGGGAAUGAGUUUUUCACUGAAUUUUUCAUUUCAUUUGCCUAGAAAGAGCUGGCAGAACACAGCAGGCAGACUGGUUUCAGGUCUUCCAGGUUUUUCUUCUAUGUUGUGUCUGUAGAAACUGGGUCCUGGAGAAAAAAUAUAAUUUCUUAAUUAUGAAUUUUGCUAAAUAUGUUCUGGAAGAUGAACAUAAAUGUGGAAUUUAGUGUUACACUAUGUGAAUUGAUUUUGUUUAAGUGUUGUAAGAACUAAGGGUCCAUGGCUGGUGUAAUGAGUGUAUGUGCAACCCUUGUGUUAUAAAAAAAAAAAAAAAGCAAAAAUGUUACCGUUGAUGUGACUUGAAAAGCAUCAAAACUUACAGAGGAAACCUCCAAACUGACUUCCAUGGUGAUAGUCUUUGUAAGAAAGGAUCUGCCCUUCAGUGCCACAGCAAGGCCUGGGGUCAAAACUAAAUACUCAAUCUGCCCACAGCUAUACUUGUAUGCUUUCUUCAUGUUUAACAAAUACAAAGCACUGCCAUCUUUCAGGAGUUAUCCAGGACUGGGAAUGUGUGUGCUGUGCAGGACAGGGCACAUCACUUGGUUACUUUUUAAUCGCUCUGUUAUUGUUAUGAGAAAUCUGAAAAAUCUACAUAUCACUUUCAGUAAUUUCCUAUAUUAGCUCUCCAUUUUUUGGAUAACUGAUACUAUUUUUAACAGGAAAGAGUAUCAAGAGAUUGCUUUGCCUGUUUUUCAUUAUUCCUAUAGUUCAUUCCUUCUCUGGGUUUAAUCCCAAGCUUUUGAUAUGAGCUUCAUCAUGUUUGUCUUAUUCAAAUCAGGGUCCUCAUCCUGUUUCUUUUUAAGUCUAUGGGAGAAUUAAUUUGUAUUUCAGUUUGCAUAGUCUGGACAAAC
ensembl:lncRNA